UGGUACACCCUGCUUCUCCAGCCUGCAAGAAAUGUGGAGGAGGACAUCCAAGCAUUGACCUAAAAGAGGAGACAAGAUCCAAAUCCUAGGUUCAUCAAGGAAAAAUGGAAACAAAUAAAUAGAUGAUAGAGCAGAUUGUGGUACAGAUCUUUCAGAGACUGAAAAAUAUCCCAAGUGAAAUAAAGAAAAUGAGGAGAAAAUAACUGGCAAUUAGCAAGGCUUCAGGGAAUGGAGCUGCUGAGCAGACAAGAGUACAUUUGGUAAUGAAACAGAAGAAAUAAUACAGGUGCUGUCAGAUUAGGUUCCUUAGAACUGGACUGAAAAUUAAGGAUUAGACUAAGCAGUUAGAAACUGGGCAGCCUCCAGGGGAAAGUAAAGUUGUUAAGUGUUAAUGUCUCUAACUCUGUUAAUGUCUCUGACUAAGCACUGGCCCUGAAGGAUGGUGUGCCCCAUUGCUCACUCCAAGUUCUCGUUUUCCCCAGUAUAUAUCCAAGACAAGACCUUGUCACACACCAGACACAUCUUAGCUCCCCUGACAGAAAAGCCAACCAUCUCAGCAGGGCAGGGGCUGCAGUGGACACAGCAGCUUCCCGUGGCCUUCACAGAUACAGGAACCAGCCCUGAACCUGCAGCUUUUCUGAAUAAUGAGAAUGACUCAAUUUUAAGAAAGGUGUUGAAGAUCCUAUUGACCCAGGAAAUCUUAGAAUCUGUUAUGAAGGUCAUGAAUCCUGUGCUUCAUUUCAUUUUCUGGGAAUUUCAUCCUGUAGAGAGCUGCAAGACAGAAACUGACAGUACAUUUCUCAUGAUGCUAUAA
rnacentral:lncRNA from 1 species